UUGCUCUGCUUGCUCGCCGCUGCCAAGUCCGAGCCUUGUGGUGUCAAAAAGGCUGCGGAGGAGUGCCAAGCACCGAGCUUGUUUGACUGUUGAGCUUACUCGCCAGUUUAACUAAUCCCAUGUUCCUGGCCUGAGGGACCUUUGGAGGAAGAGGGGCGCUGGCACACCGAAAGAGCUGUCAGUCUGCUGAACUAUAGGAGAUCUGGGUUUAAUCUGUGAGAGAAGACCAGGCAGGACUAGAGGCUGGUACAGGCUUUUGUAGCAGUGUGUCAGGUCAGUCUUUUGUGUAGGGUUUCAGACUUGACGUGAUUGUGCCUGAGCGUGAAAAACAGACAUCAGGGGGAUUCAGGUCAAAUCUUUGAAGGUCCAGUUACAUAAAUUCUCGACUGAAUUACAGCAACACUUAACCAUUAGCUGUUUAGAUAUAAAUUAUAAAGACAAUGUGAAGCGUUAAGGCUUCAUGGAAUCAAUUUUGUCUCACUGAAUGGAUUUGACUUGGAAGAAACAACGUCACACACUUUCGAUCUGGUUCACUAAACGGACAAGAAAGAAUACUUCUCUACCCCUGUAUCUAGUCUCUGAUCUGAUGAUCUGCCUUCAGCUAAAUCAUUUACAUAAAUGCAUGUUGCUAAACAGCACCAGAGGACCUGCUAUAAAAGCUGACCCAGUUUAUCCACACAGUGAUCAGCUCUGCUUCGUUUUUUUCUCGGUUCUGGUCCACUGAAAAUCUUUGCAGCCCCCAGUAAUAUGGCUCUAAUCUGAUGUGAAUCUUGCUCAAUGGAACCAGAGCGUGUGAAAGCAGCACAGUAAGAGUAAUGUCCGGUGGUCCAGAGCGGCGUCUGCAAUAGCUUUGUGCAAGAGGACCACAGUAUUUCAACCCCAGCUCACAUUAUGUGCAUGUGUGUGUAGUAUUAUGUGUGUGAACAUCCAGACUCCCAAUGUUUUAGGGUUUUUUUAAACCUCAAGCUCCAUCACGGCUGAUGGUUGUGCCAGGCGCUGGAGAGUCUGCAGGGACUUGUAUGUGUCAUGUGCUUGCCCGUGGCAUAUGCCGUACGUGUGUUUAUGCGAGAGUGACAGCUAACGGUAAAGCCACGACCGGUUUUUCCGGAUCUCUGUGCCAUCAAGCAUCGGCUUGCCUUCAGAAAGCCUGGGAAUCAGGGUGUCUCUGCUACGUCGCUGACGCAUGGGAUCCGUUCCCAUCCCACUCAUCUGUUUAUUAUUUUCCUGUGAAGACUUGCAACUUUACAAGGUAAAAAAAAAAAUCAGCAAGACUCGGGGGUGGAGACAGACUCCAAGAUCCCUUGAAUCCUGAACAUUUCCAAACAAUAUCCUGAGAAAAUAUGAGAAACUCUGCGAUGUUUUAAACAAAGACAGAUUUGUUCAGAUAUGUUUCAUGUUAAAAAUCAUGGAGCUGGCCCACGGUACUCACGCUUUCAAUGUUAUCUCAGGCAAAGAGUGCAUUCUUGUGGCCUGGAGAGGAAAUCUAAUAUUAAUAUUACUCACAAUGGUCACCUGUCACUGUCCUUUAGGGAAUGCAUCAUAUUUUGGAGAUUGUCUUGGAGGACAGCGCAGCAGGAAGAACAGCAGAAAAACUCGCCUGAGGCGCCGUGAUACGAUAUUCUACACAGGGAAUCAGUGUCUGUUUUACAUCACAUCCUGGGUGUGUUAUUGUUGUUGUUGUCGCUGUCGCUGUGUUUUAUCUGUUACAGUUCGUGAGGAUUAUUCAUCACUUCCUCAUUCAUGGGUUCAUUUACUCCAUAGAAACGUUUUCAAAAGCCCAAACACUCGCACUAUAGAACCAGUAGAGCUUCUAGUACUGAAAGGUAUUGAUUGGUUAACCCAUAUAACUGCCCCUUUAACCCGACAUAUUAAAAGCCUGCAUUUAUCAGAAGGUAUGUUUUUAGGAGCUCUGGAACUUUGGAAACCUAGUAGCUACAAUUCUGAACUAGACUCAAGCUUACCACCAUUUUGAAAGCCCCUCUUUGGCUACCAAAAGCUAGUUUCUGCUAGUUCCUGACUCCCUGAAAUCCACCUUGGGUUCCUCAAAAUCAAAGUGGUGGAAUACUAAAACUAAUGGAACCUCAGCCAAUGAGAUUUAUGACCUGACAUUCAUUGGAAACAUACCUAAAGUUCUAGAGUCCAUAAAUUCCUUCAGUGGGUCCUAAAAAGGUUUCUAUUAGGGUGUCAUUGGUGGAAUACUAAAAUGGAUGUUACCUCAGCCAGUGAGGUUUCUAAAAUCCACAGGAAAGUUCUCGAGUCCCUGAAAUCUUUUAAUUGUUCCUGAAAAGGUUCCUUCUUUGAAACAACCCUAAAAAUAAAAUAUCUGGAACUUCCAGGUAAAAUAGCAACCAAUGGGACUCCUAGAAUUAUAUUUCAGGAACUAUAUAAGACUUGAUAUAAGUCCUCUCUUGGUGAAACAAACCUAAAGAUUUUGAAUCUAGAGUUUUGUAGAACCUCAAGUUCUUGGACAUUUUUUUGGAAACCCUUCCUGGGUUUCGGUUAAGGAUUUGGACUAAAGUGGUGGAAACCUCGGCCAUUGAUAUUUCUGGAAUUAAAGCUCAGGAACUAAAUCAGAUCUUUCCAGUGGAAAAUACAACCGUUAAUGAAUUCUUCAAAGUUCAAUAAGUUCUUGGUGGAAAAGUGGCUGAAACCUCGCCCAUCACUCGAUGAGCAAUCCUCCACAAUGGUGGCCAGAAUGUGGCUGACAAAAAAGAGCAACAAUGACAACGACACACCCAGGAUGUGCAAAUUAGUAUCUGAUCCCUGACGUAUAAUAAUGUGUCCUGGCGCCUUAUUUCAUGCAUCAUGCAGCUAGAGAGAGAGAGAGAGAGAGAGGGAGAGAGAGAGAGAUUCAGGGGGAGAGAGAGAAAUAGAGAAUUGAAUUGAAUUGAAUUGAGAGAGAGAGAGAGAGAGAGAUUACUUCUGAAAUGAAAACAUUUCCCUAAUGGACAGCGACAGAUGACCGCUGUCCUACUCACACCCGCUCCAAACAGGUCUCAAACCUGGGUCUCCGGCAUGGGAGGUGGGCGCUCUAACAAGGAGGCUAAAGACUACAACCUCUAGCGUCGGUCACUAGUUCUCCACUUGAGAUCAAGGGAAGUGAGGUUUAACUGCACAGAACCUCACGCUGGCCUCCGUUACACUCACCUCACUCCCAUCCGGGUCACGGCACCAACUUAUCCCCUGCAGGUCCUACUCGUGCCCGCUCCAAGCAGGUCUCUUGACAUGGAAUGCUCGGCUUGGAGCAGAAAAUCCAGCAGUGUGAAGAAAUCAGAGAAUUGAAGAACACCCCUGGACUUUCAACAAUUCAUAAUAUAUUUAUUACUGAUGUUGGUUUUAAUGCUGAUUUAUUAAUUAGAAUGUAUUUUGGAUACUGAGUGUAUAUGAUCACCUGUGGCGGCCCUUUUUGAAAUAACUAUAUUGAAAUACAAGAAAUGGAAAAUUACUAUACUGCAGUCGCAAAACUUCUAAAGGAAUUUCUGACCUAUGACUAGAAAUAAAAAAGCUGCUCAGCUCCACCAAUCAGAAUGAGUAACAGUAGCUCGCCUGUUGGAUCGGAUCACACGGGCCAGCCUUCGCUCCCCACGUGCAUGAAUGAGGCUUGGCCACCCAUGACACUACUGUUCCUUCCUUGGACCAUGUUUAAUACUGACCACUGCAGACCGGGAACACCCCACAAGAGCUGCAGUUUCGGAGAUGCUCUGAUCCAGUGGUCUAGCCAUCACAAUGAAUAAGCAGCCAUGUUGACCUGCAAAUCAACAACAGCUGAAUAAAUGAUAUAAGAAUGUAAACAGACGGACAGUAUAUUUUUUAUGCACCCACACACCAUCUUACUGAGCUCCCAAAUAUUACAAACAGACAAAAAAUCCGCAAAGAACUAUAACUCAGCACUGAAAAACAGGAAGAUGUGAGAAAUAAGAACAAAUAAGAGCUGAUUUAAAGGCAGUUCCUCUGAGCAGGUGUUGAGGAAAAACAACCCUGAGAGAAGAACGUUAUUCGUAUUAGUAUGACAAAGCAAUUAUAAUGCACCUAAACACUCCUGACAAUAAAGCUUUUGCUGAGAGAAGUGAGAAAAAGCGAGAGGUGAAAAGCAGAAAGACGGAGACACAAUACAGUCCGAGCUCUCUCGCCCUUUGCUCUGCUCUAUUAUCCAUACACACACCCUAAGCCCGGGACAUUACGCCAGUUUCGGUUUUCCCGACACCUUAAUCUUUUCUCCUCCCUCGUGUUUUCAUGGCGUGAUUGAGCAGAACAGCUCCUCUGACGUGCCGGAGCUCUAGGCCUCUUCCCAUUCCCUGGCUUUAGUAGAAACAGAUCACGUUUCUGUCCAUCCAGGCGAGAAAAGCCUCUCAGGUUCCUCACACAAUCAGCCGCCGAGGUGAACUCUGAGCAGGUUAAUUGCAGGAUAUAAGAUUGAAUCUUUUAAUCAGUUUAACAGUCAGUGGAACAGGUGGACGACAAGACCAGGGGGCUAGUUCUUUUAUUCUCUACGUAAUUUUGUGUUUUGCUGCGGAAACAAUUCCAGCAGGAGAGAAAAAAAAACAUCUGACUUGCGUCAUAGCAGGCUUUCAGUCGGACUCACUAUAGUCAUCUGCUUACAGUGUAAAAGAAUAUUUCUCAUUUUCACUAUAAUAUCUUCUCACAGGACAAACUCUGGUCUCACUGGACCACAAACAUCGAACAAAUUUUUCAAUUCAAUUCAAUUUAUUUCUGUAGCACUUUUAACAAUGGACAUUGUCUCAUAGCAGCUUGUAUGGAAAACAUACAGGAAAAAAUGAUAAACUUUAAAGUUAACUUACUAUUUAAUCCCCAUUUGAUCCCUAAUGAUCAAGCCUGAGGUGACGGUUUCAAGGAAAAACUCUGUGUGAUGAUAUGAGGAAGAAACCUUGAGAGGAACCAGGCUCAGAAGGGAACCUCGUCCUCAUUUGGGUUUCACUGGACAGUAAAUAAUGUAAAUGUAGAUAAAUAAUGUCCUUUCUACAGUCCCCUGGUCAAAAAUCUGUUCUUUUAGUGCUUUAACUAAUUUGUCCUUUGACCUGUGAUAUCAAUAACACUGUUCCAAAGACACAAAAACUGGUCUGUUGCAAUAUUGCUUUGCAUUGGCUCUUGAUACAUUUUUCAGGCCCUGAAAUUAGCCCCACCCCUUUUUUCCCCCCAAGUCUCAUAAAAUUGUAAUAGAAGAUCUUACAUAUGAUGGUAACAGGUGAAGGUUUGUCAGUGCCUUUUUCUUUUUAAAUGUAAUUCAUUCAGCAGAGGGCACUAAAAUUACAUACUGCUUCUUUAAAAUAAUAAUUUAUUAUGCUUUCCUCAUAUUUUCAGCAACUGUGUUAGCUUUAGCUUAGUAUUGUAUCAGUAUGUGAUUUUUAAACUGUGCACAUUUCUGAGCUGUUUGGUUAACGUCAAAACCUACCUUGUAUAUCUUUGUAUAUAUUUUUACACCUAUCUCUUUGAGAGAAUGUUAACAGCACUAGCGGGGUCACCCUCUAACAUCAGCAUGAUGCAGAACCUCUAACUAGAAUCAAGAGAAUCACUAAACACAUCACGGCUAUUUCAAUAAAAUGUUAUUUAACGUGUUUAAGGCUGGAGUUUUAUCCUUUAACGCUGCGGUGCCUGUCCUCAGAUGCUGAUCCCCUUUGUGUCUUUACUUUUUCUUCAUGUUUCCAUUGUCUUUGCAUCAAUCUCUGCUUUCUUCUAUUUCUGUCUCAUUCUCUUCUUGUCUUUUGCUGGGUCUCUCCUCCUGCUUGUGUCUCCCUAGGCUCUUUCUAUUACUUCCUGGCUCUGUUUCAUUCUUUGUCCGUGUCCCUUUCUCUCUAUUUCUUUUUCUCUCUCUCUUUGUGUGUGUGU